UUCUGAGCGGGGAAUCAUUCAUCCGCCUGUAGUUGAUGAUUAGUUCAGUCUGCAAGUACUAUAGUUGAGAGCACUAUAGUAUUUUACUAACAGCGUAGAGGCUCCUGAUGGGUUCUGCACUUCAAAUGUGCUUUUCAAGGAUUUACAUGAAUUAUUAUAGUAUUAGAAACACUUGCUAAGAGCCUGACAAACAAAAGGAACGAUUGGAUAGAGUUUGCCCAACUCUCUAUUUUGUAUUGCCUGUAGGAGUUAUGAGAUUGAUCACUGUUCGUUAUCUUCACCUUGCAGUUAAACCAGUGCAUAGAACGUGAAAUACUAGUAUUACACUCUGUAAAUGUAGGGGCGGAUAGUUACGGAUACCAGCUGUAGGUGCCUGACACAGAGGCCAGAAGAUAUGUUUAAACACAUGUAGUGCAAGCUACCGAACCGUAAUGAGGAUAGAUGUUCAUUAUAGAUUGAUAAUUGUUUGAUGCUAAAUUCAUGUCACUUAUAAAAGCACCAGUAAAAACUAAUCUAUGACCUAAAUGGGAAAAAAAUUGUCAAUGUUGAGUAAUGAAAUUUCUUCAUAUGAACUUUUAAACGUGAAUUGAUAUUGAAGGACUUUACAUGCAAGGAGAGACAAACUUUGAAAUGAAUCCACCCCAAACCCAAGCAACAUUCCUUCGUAAUGAUUUCUUUAAAUAUAGUAUGUGUUAUAGCAUGUCGUCUUGUGUAGAUGAAUUAGAUAUGCAAGGAAGAUAGCAGUUGAACGAUCGUCAGCAACGGAUGACUCCUCUAAAUUUACAUCCUGGUGUAUAAAUGUAAUAUGAUGCAUAACAUGUGAAAGUGCAUACAUACCAUACUCUGUAUUGUUGUAAACAAACACUAAACUGGUUCUGGGCUUUGUUGACGUAAGCUUCGAAAUUUUCUGUAAACUUUGAUUGCGUACAUCAUAUGACGCUCCGUGAGAAACUGAUAUAAAGAGAAGGCUGGUAGUACAGAAGGUCAUAACAAAGAGACAAUGACAGAGAAAACAUCUCUACUGUUUUGGCUGUUGGUGUAUAUCGUGUCUACCUUCAUACUGGGGACUGUGGAGGUGUGUCAUUACCUACUCUCCCCUAUCUUCCAUAGGCGUGACUCUUGUGCUUCACCAACGGCAGUCUAUGCUACAUGAUGUUAAUCUUCAAGGAAACUUUCAAACACCCAAGACAAAGUCGUCUUCACCUUCCAUGCCGCCAGGGCCCUCACACUGGUUUUGAUCUUAUUCAUCAGCUUCAUUAACAAUGGUUGUGAAUAACAUAUUGGAUUACGAUGUUGCAAUGAACAUUUGUUGGAAACAAAGGGAUCAGUCAUGAACUUUGAAUAUCAUUAUAUUUGUUCAAUAAACUACCAUUGCCAUAUAUUUGCUCUCUGAAAUAAACUUAUUCAAAGAGGUC